rnacentral:lncRNA from 1 species
GAAGGUGGAAAGAAAUAAAGAAAGACAAAAAUACCCCUACAAGGUCAAUGAAAGAGGACAAGGAAAAAACUCCAACAAAAGAGGAAAAAACCUCAAAACAAAGGAGUAAAAAAGGAAAAACUCCAACAAAUAAGAAUUCAAAAGAAGUCGAAAAAAAAGGGGACAAUAAAGAGGAUCAGACGCCAAAGGUGUAUCAAUCAUCAAAAGCACAAAUUCACUGUGACACUUAAGAAGGAAUUAAGUCACUUUUAUCCCAAAUAUAUAUCUUACCCGUCCCUAAGCCUACAUUACAAGCC